AUGGAUCCUGAAAUGAGGGAUCGUGUUAGGAAGGGGGAGGAGGAGGAUGACGAAAUGAUGUUAUUUGUUUUCCCUGCACUACAUUUGAUAGAGACCGAUGGAGUUGUUCUUAGGGAGCGGAGGAUUCCGCGUCAUACAUCAUCGCUAACAGGCAAGAUGUUUGUUAAGGAGUUACUCGAAGGGCACGUCAAAAACUGUCGGGUAGCAUUUAGGAUGGAGCCGCGUAUCUUCAAAUCUUUGGCUAAUUAUCUUCGAAGGGAGAAGUUGGUGAAAGAUACCAGAAUUAAAGUCGAAGAGAAACUAGCAUCAUUUAUGUGGAUGUUAUCCCAUAAUUCUUCAUUUGAAGACCUUCAAGUUCGGUUUGGUCACAGCGGGGAUACUUUCCAUUGGCAAAUGAAGAAUUUCUUUGACAUCAUCCCUAUUCUCUCCAAGCAUUUUUUGAAGCCUCCAAAUCCCAGUCAAGUGCAUCCGAAGAUUCAGUCGGACACGAGAUUCUUUCCUUAUUUUCAGAAAUGCAUUGGGGCAAUUGAUGGGACACAUGUUCCCAAAACAAUUUCAGGAGAAAAAGCCGCACCAUUUAGAAAUAGGAAAGGGACCCUAAGCCAUAAUGUUAUGGUCGUGUGCGACUUUGACCUGAACUUCACCUUCAUUUCUUGUGGCUGGGAGGGAUCUGCUACCGAUGCUAAAGUUCUCCGGUCAGCACUUAAUAGUGGGUUUCAUGUACCUCCGGGCAAGUUUUAUCUGGUUGAUGGUGGUUAUGCCAACACACCUUACUUCUUGGCACCGUAUCGUGGUGUUCGGUACCAUCUGAAGGAGUUUGCAUGCGGUCGCCGUCGACCCCAAAAUCACAGGGAGCUAUUCAAUCUCCGGCAUGCCGUGUUACGAAAUCACGUCGAACGGGGAUUAGGAAUCUUGAAGAAGCGGUUCCCAAUCCUAAAAGUGGGCACGCAUCAUCGAAUAGAGAACCAAGUCAAGCUACCAGCAGCGGCGGCAAUCUUACAUAACAUCAUCCGAUCUGAAAAAGGAGAUGAGCGUUGGUUAGAUAACCAACCAAACAAUAUACCUAUCAUGAAUUUUGUUGAUCUUCCUGAUGGUGAUAUUCCUCAAAAUCAUCAAAUCAACCAUGAAGGCGACAACCUUAGAGAUGCCAUUGCUCAUCAAAUAAGUCACUAUGAUGACUGCUCGAGGGUCACCACGGUUGAGCCUCCUCAAAAAAGCUGUCGAAAGGGAUAG
rnacentral:rRNA from 1 species